GCGUGGAUUAGGCAUGCAAGUCGAACGCGAACGUUCCCUUCGGGGGACUAGUAGCGUGGCGUAAGGGGCAGUAAUACAUAGGCAACCUACCCUCAGGUCUGGGAUAUACGGGGGAAACGCCGGGCAAUACUGGACGCUGUCGCACCCUCGCAUGGGGGAGCGAUGAAAGAUUUAUCGCCUGAGGAGGGGCUUAUGUCCUACCAGCUUUUUGGGGAGGUAACGGCUCACCAAGGCUGCGACGGGUAGGGGGGGUGAGAGCAUGGCCCCCGUCACUGGAACUGAGACACUGUCCAGACUCCUACGGGAGGCUGCAGUCGAGAAUCUUCGGCAAUGGGCGAAAGCCUGACCGAGCGACGCCGCGUGGAGGAAGAAGGCCUUCGGGUUUUAAACUUUUUUUGGGGGGAAACAAUACUGAGUGAACCCCUGAGGAAGCACGGGCUAAGUUCGUGCCAGCAGCCGCGGUAAGACGAACCGUGCGAACGUUAUUCGGAAUUACUGGGCUUAAAGCGCGCGUAGGCGGCGUCGUCAGUCGGAGGGGAAAUCCCGCGGCUCAACCGUGGAACUGCCCCCGAUACUGCGACGCUUGGGGGAGGUAGGGGCCUGUGGAACUUCCGGGGGAGCGGGGAAAUGUGGGGAGAUCGGAAGGAACGCCAGUGGCGAAAGCGGGG
rnacentral:rRNA from 1 species